rnacentral:rRNA from 1 species
UGGGGAAUAUUGGACAAUGGGCGAAAGCCUGAUCCAGCAAUGCCGCGUGAGUGAAGAAGGCCUUCGGGUUGUAAAGCUCUUUUACCCGGGAAGAUAAUGACUGUACCGGGAGAAUAAGCCCCGGCUAACUCCGUGCCAGCAGCCGCGGUAAUACGGAGGGGGCUAGCGUUGUUCGGAAUUACUGGGCGUAAAGCGUACGUAGGCGGCUUUGUAAGUCAGAGGUGAAAGCCCACGACUCAAUCGUGGAACUGCCUUUGAGACUGCUUCGCUUGAAGAUGGGAGAGGUUAGUGGAAUUCCGAGUGUAGAGGUGAAAUUCGUAGAUAUUCGGAAGAACACCAGUGGCGAAGGCGGCUAACUGGACCAUUCUUGACGCUGAGGUACGAAAGCGUGGGGAGCAAACAGG